rnacentral:piRNA from 1 species
UGUUGCUAUGAGUAAAAUCAGUAGGA